UCCCAAUUCUGCUUCGAAUGUGUGAAGAAUUGUUUCAACUCGAUCGCUCGUCAAACGUCAGUAUUCCCGAUCAGCGCCGUUGUUUGCUAGCAUGCUUGGCUAUUGCAAACGUCUUAUCUUAUCAGUGCGAUAGAGUAUGCAAACAAAACAUGAAAGUGGAUGUCUUCCGAUGGGCUUGGGACCGUUGUGAAAGUGUUCGGUUUUUAGUCAUCACCCGUAAUCGCACUAGUGCGUCAGUUUUACGCUGGGUUCUGCCAACAGAGAUGUUGCGCCACAGCCUGGUACUGCUUCUUCCUCUCGUGUUGAUCGUGCUGAUAAGCGGCGUGCCGUUUCGACCAACCGUAGCUGGCAACACGGUACCGUUAGUUCAACGUGCAACGCGCCGGGUUAUCUUCUACAGGCCGGACCGUGACAAUAACGAGACGCAAACCGUCAACAAGUCGAACAUUUUCGAUCCACCGAAGCUCUGCCCCAUCGGUUAUCAGCUCGAUCGGCACUCUCGGUGCCGUCGAAUGAUGGGCUAGGGCCACUAGUUACCUACACCAUCUUCCACUGGCUGCCAGGCGGUAGUGUGCGUGUGUAUAUCUAUCCAGCGACGCAUAUCUGUCGCCGUGGUACCGUCUAGUGCUGCAGUCUCAGCCAUAAUUCCUGCUGCGAAAGUGCUCUCGGUGAAUAGGGUUGAAAUCGCUCAAAAACUCACAUACAAAUUAAGACAAAACUCACAAACAUGGGAUCGCUGGGCCGAUUAUCGCUAGUGCUGCUGCUGCUGCUUACCGUGGGUCUGCUAGUGCCCGCUACCACCGGUGUACGGAUAAUAUUUUGGCGUCCGCUAGCAGAGCCCAGCACCACCAAUACCGACGUGAACAAGGGCAACAUACUUCGGUCGCCUAAUCUCGCUGGCAGCAGCUGUGGAAAUGGUCAGGCGAUAGACUUCCGCGGAAUGUGCCGCAAUACUAUAUCGUUUUAAGAAAUCGCCCCGCGAUAGCUAGUUCCCGAGAAAUUGGGCACAUUAUCAUAUUGGCCGGACUCGGAAGCGAUGCAAAUGAUUAUUCAUUUUUUAUAAAACACCGGAUAACUGAUAGCUCUCAGGACCUCCUACGUUACUGUACAAAAUCCAUGCAACUGGUACUGGUUGAACACACAAAAUUAAAGCUUAGACCUCCAUGAUGCCAUCAGGGCUUAUAUCCUCAGUGAAGCGGAGCCUCUACUUAUGUAAACCACCACUACCUAGUGUUAGCGUAAUGACAAUGCUACAAUAUGAUAUAUAAGCGACUACCAGUACUGUUAUUCUGAAUAAAAGCUGCACAAGCCGUUCUACUUCA